GUUGGGGGCUACUUUAAAAAAAAAUUCCUUUAUAAAUACUUACCACAUUUAACAUUUUUCUCACACAAUAUCAAACACAUAAAACACAAUAUUGCCAUGAGUUCUUCAAGUUAUAGUGAAUCGUCUUCAUCAUCUGACGAUGGUGGCGAAUAUUGGCAAUGUCUUGUCGACUAUGGGACAAGGAUCAGAUUGGAAACGUGA
rnacentral:lncRNA from 1 species